GACGAACGCUGGCGGCGUGCUUAACACAUGCAAGUCGAACGGAAAGGCCCUGCUUUUGUGGGGUGCUCGAGUGGCGAACGGGUGAGUAACACGUGAGUAACCUGCCCUUGACUUUGGGAUAACUUCAGGAAACUGGGGCUAAUACCGGAUAGGAGCUCCUGCUGCAUGGUGGGGGUUGGAAAGUUUCGGCGGUUGGGGAUGGACUCGCGGCUUAUCAGCUUGUUGGUGGGGUAGUGGCUUACCAAGGCUGUGACGGGUAGCCGGCCUGAGAGGGUGACCGGCGACAUUGGGACUGAGAGACGGCCCAGACUCCUACGGGAGGCAGCAGUGGGGAAUAUUGCACAAUGGGCGGAAGCCUGAGGCAGCAACGCCGCGUGCGGGAUGACGGCCUUCGGGUUGUAAACCGCUGUCGCCUGUGACGAAGCGUGAGUGACGGUAAUGGGUAAAGAAGCACCGGCUAACUACGUG
rnacentral:rRNA from 1 species